GUGAAAGGCCAAUCAAACUUCGUGAUAGCUGGUUCUCUCCGAAAUAUAUUUAGGUAUAGCGUUGUGUCGUAAUAUAAGGGGGUAGAGCACUGAAUGGGCUAGGGCAUACACCAAUGUACCAAACCCUAUCAAACUCCGAAUACCUUAUAUGUAAUCACAGCAGUCAGGCGGCGAGUGAUAAAAUCCGUCGUCAAGAGGGAAACAACCCAGACUACCAGCUAAGGUCCCUAAAUCUUACUUAAGUGGAAAACGAUGUGAAGUUACUUAAACAACCAGGAGGUUGGCUUAGAAGCAGCCAUCCUUUAAAGAAAGCGUAAUAGCUCACUGGUCUAGUGAUUUUGCGCGGAAAAUAUAACGGGGCUAAAGUAAGUACCGAAGCUGUAGACUUGCGCACAACUUAGAUUAUUUAAGUUUAGAAUAUGAGAAACUAAGUUAUAUGUUUAGUUAUAUUUUUACUGAUUUUUAUAGAGUAAAGAUAGAAAUAAAACUUAGUAAAAUCAGUAAAAAUAUUCUUAGACUAAAGUUAAGUAGUUUAAGUUGUGUGCAAGUGGUAGGAGAGCGUUCUAUUUGCGUCGAAGGUAUACCGGUAAGGAGUGCUGGAGCGAAUAGAAGUGAGCAUGCAGGCAUGAGUAGCGAUAAUUAAUGUGAGAAUCAUUAACGCCGUAAACCCAAGGUUUCCUACGCGAUGCUCGUCAUCGUAGGGUUAGUCGGGUCCUAAGUCGAGUCCGAAAGGGGUAGACGAUGGCAAAUUGGUUAAUAUUCCAAUACCAACAUUAGUGUGCGAUGGAAGGACGCUUAGGGCUAAGGGGGCUAGCGGAUGGAAGUGCUAGUCUAAGGUCGUAGGAGGUUAUACAGGCAAAUCCGUAUAACAAUACUCCGAGAACUGAAAGGCUUUUUGAAGUCUUCGGAUGGAUAGAAGAACCCCUGAUGCCGUCGAGCCAAGAAAAGUUUCUAAGUUUAGCUAAUGUUGCCCGUACCGUAAACCGACACAGGUGGGUGGGAUGAGUAUUCUAAGGCGCGUGGAAGAACUCUCUUUAAGGAACUCUGCAAAAUAGCACCGUAUCUUCGGUAUAAGGUGUGGUUCGCUUCGUAUUAGGAUUUACUCCGAAAGCGAAGAAACUUACAACAAAGAGUCCCUCCCGACUGUUUACCAAAAACACAGCACUCUGCUAACUCGUAAGAGGAUGUAUAGGGUGUGACGCCUGCCCGGUGCUCGAAGGUUAAUUGAUGGGGUUAGCAUUAGCGAAGCUCUUGAUCGAAGCCCGAGUAAACGGCGGCCGUAACUAUAACGGUCCUAAGGUAGCGAAAUUCCUUGUCGGUUAAAUACCGACCUGCAUGAAUGGCGUAACGAGAUGGGAGCUGUCUCAAAGAGGGAUCCAGUGAAAUUGUAGUGGAGGUGAAAAUUCC
rnacentral:rRNA from 1 species